AGAGUUUGAUCCUGGCUCAGAACGAACGCUGGCGGCGUGCUUAACACAUGCAAGUCGAGUGCGCGCCUGUAGCAAUACAGGUGGCGCACGGCGCACGGGUGCGUAACACGUGGGUAACCUGCCCUUUGGUGGGGAAUAACUCCGCGAAAGCGAAGCUAAUUCCGCAUAAGAUCCGCAAGGAUGAAAGCCGAAAGGCGCCGAUGGAGGGGCCCGCGCACGAUUAGCUAGUUGGUAGGGUAAUGGCCUACCAAGGCUUUGAUCGUUAGCUGGUCUGAGAGGAUGGCCAGCCACACUGGAACUGAGACACGGUCCAGACUCCUACGGGAGGCAGCAGUGGGGAAUCUUGCACAAUGGGCGAAAGCCUGAUGCAGCGACGCCGCGUGGGGGAUGAAGCUUCUCGGAGUGUAAACCCCUUUCGAUCCGGACGAAUGCCCGCAAGGGAUUGACGGUACGGAUAUAAGAAGCCCCGGCUAACUACGUGCCAGCAGCCGCGGUAAUACGUAGGGGGCCAGCGUUGUUCGGAAUUACUGGGUGUAAAGGGUUCGUAGGCGGUGCGGCAAGUUGGGAGUGAAAUCUCUGGGCUCAACCCAGAGGCUGCUUCCAAAACUGCUGUGCUUGAGUGUGAGAGAGGCUCGUGGAAUUGCAGGUGUAGCGGUGAAAUGCGUAGAUAUCUGCAGGAACACCCGUGGCGAAAGCGGCGAGCUGGAUCACUACUGACGCUGAAGAACGAAAGCUAGGGGAGCAAACAGGAUUAGAUACCCUAGUAGUCC
rnacentral:rRNA from 1 species